UACGAAGGGGGCUAGCGUUGUUCGGAAUUACUGGGCGUAAAGCGCGUGUAGGCGGGUCUUUAAGUCAGGGGUGAAAUGCCAAGGCUCAACCUUGGAACUGCCUUUGAUACUGGAGACCUUGAGUCCGGGAGGGGUGAGUGGAAUUGCGAGUGUAGAGGUGAAAUUCGUAGAUAUUCGCAAGAACACCAGUGGCGAAGGCGGCUCACUGGCCCGGAACUGACGCUGAGACGCGAAAGCGUGGGGAGCAAACAGG
rnacentral:rRNA from 1 species